rnacentral:pre_miRNA from 1 species
GAAGAAGUUUGGUACACUGAUGGGCCUGAACUGUUGCUCUUACCUGUUCUUUUAUACUAGGUGAGCAAACUUUCAGGUGUGUUAGUGCCGGCUGUUC